AAGGCCCUUCAAAGGGAGGUUUGACGGUUCAUGCGGAUCGUGAGUCAAAGUGGAAUUUUUGCUCUAAUGAGGGUAUAUUUUCUCGUAAAAAAGAAGAUUUCAUCAGGGAAUCUUUUUGAGUUACAUCUUGCUCCUCAGAAGGAUUUAACGCAGUCGAAAAAAGAAAAUGAAGAUCGAUCAUACCGUUAACAGUGUUGUUGGAUAUCGAACUAAUGUUAAUUUGGGUAGCAAUUAGAAAAUUAUAGAUACCAUAAUAACAUUUAUUCCAAUGCCAUGUGUGAGAUUAGGAAUGGCAAGGAAAAUAUUCGAGCGAUUAACGAUAAUUCUAAAAAGGAAGUUCGGCGAAUCAAUGUUGGAAAGAAGAGGAAGAGAAGAGUGAUGGAGGAGAUGAAGAAGUCGAAGAUGGGGGUGAAGAGCAUGAGUCCACCCUCGUCUACAAAAUCGAGAUGAUACUAAGGUAGGUUUAACUUUCAAAAUGAUUAAAUCUGUAGGGACGUUUGAAAAAUUAAAUCGAUUUGUUCCACGUUUACGUCACCUUGUCAUCCUUAUUCCAUCAAUUUAAAUUAAGUAAUCAUUCGAUUAAAUUGAAAGUAGAAGAAAUAUUAAAUUAAUUUUCUUAAUUGUUUGUCACAACAUUCACAUCGUGUACUUAAAAAUAUUUAAUUUGCGUUUUAAAGUAAUAUUGGAAUUCAACGAAUUUAUUUAUUACGAAUUAAUUAUUUCUUGUUAGCACGUUUUGAUAACUAUUUAAUGAAAACGCAUAUGCGUGUUACAAUCUUCUCUCAUUAAAUAUCUUCGUAUUAAACGAUUCAUCAUUAUUUUUCUCCGUUCGUGAGUGCUCUUCUCCGCGCUUGGAUACAUCAAGCGGUCAGGAACAAGUGCGCGGUUUAUAAGCGUACAUCUGUCUGAUUUGAAAAGAAGAGAAAAGGUAUUUUUUCAUUUGUUUUCCCCUUAUCAAACCACACAAACAUCUGGAUGAUAAAAUGCUCUGUACAACUCAAUUAUCUACCUAAAUCGUUCAUUUAAUUACUCGGUUACAUCUUUUGCAGAACCAUAUACGCGUCGCUGAUUUAAUUAUUCCGUUCGAACGAAUACAUUUUCCUAGAAAUUUGCUCCUGAUAGAAGAACUGAGAACAAUGAUCCAUAAUACCUCUAGUUAUCUAACAUUUCAUAUAUUAUGUUCAAAAUUAAUCAAUUCCUAGGAAGAUAUUUUAUUUGUCAAUUUUUAUUUGAGAACAGUUUAUUUUUAUUACGUAUAACCGAGCACAGCGAUUUUUCUCUGAAUAGGCGCACAUAGAAUCUAACACUUUUAUAAUUUUCCUGCAACUUCCUAAAGAUCUAUUGUUCUUCUUUCGUCGUUAUUCGGUCAAUAGAUUUCAAUUCGGUCAAUGUCAACAUUCUCUUCGCACAAAAUAAAUAAAUAUGAAUAAUUAAAUGCCAAAAAAAUUUUCCUCCUCGGGAAGUAGAUAAACGCAAUUCGAUUUUUACAUAGUGAAUGACAUGUGGAAUCAAAUGGGGAAAAAAGAAUCAAAAAGAAAAAAAAGAAAUAAAAGCAAAAAGGAAAUUUCCCGUAAACGGUAAUAUCGAUCCAAAAUUAUUGCUAACAUUAUGAAGAGAUAAUCGUGGAUAUUAGCUUCGUGAAUAUAUAGAAAAGAGAGGGUUAAACGAAACAGCGCAUGCUCGAGUCGAUAUGAGAGAUGUUGCUAGCCACCCGCGGAAGUUGAAUAAACCGUUUAUUCCGUUUCGAAUCGUGCUACCAGCAAGUUCCUGCGAGUGUCCAAAUAAUAUUCCAAACAGAAACGAUUCAGAAUAAUAUAUAAGCUCCUGACCAGUGAAAAUAGUGGAUAGUAUCUAGAAGAUUCUGCAGAACACACUAUCGAUAGUUGUAAAAGUUCUGAUUAUCAAUGGAAGCACAAUUAUAUUCCCUAUUACUUAUCGAAAGACGAAUCAGAUAUAUUCAUUGUUAUAUUUAUAUAUUGGCCUAUGUUACAAUGUAUAUACAUUUUUGUGUAUAUUUAAUUUGUAACAUCCUACAUAUCUUAAAUAUGAUGUAAGUUGAAAAAUAUGAGUUUAUAUUACUGACGUUAUGUUAUGCCCUAUUUUAUACAAGUUCAUAUCCAAUACUACGAUAAUAUGUUUUAUAGUAGAUUAUAGAAAAUUGCGUAGUUUCUUAUUAUUUUUUCAUGCUAUGGUUAACUUAUUUUUAUUAUUAUUAGAUACUAUAUUUUACGUGUGAUUUAUCUUUUACUUGUUGCAUAAUUUUGAAUUAUUGUGUAAUAUUAAACCGAGCAGAAAGCCUAAUUAGGGGUUAUCGGAAUUAGGAUAUUUCUUUUUAGACAUUUAUACGAUCCAAUCGUAUAAUGGUAUAUAGAGCCAACUGUUGCGCAUCUGUUUGUUAUUCCGUGAUAUUAUUCCGUAUUUGCUAUCUCAAUGAUACUACCUGUUGAAGAGUCUAACAAACUAGGUGAAUUGCUUGUCUGAAACUAGUAAUUGCUUGUUUGCGGGUCAGCUAAUCAAUUAGAAUAGAGAUGCAUGAUUCCAUGAUAAGCAUACAAAGAGACGAACGUAGAGACGACUUGUCUUCCGGGCCACAUAUCCGCAACCGAACCGAUUUCAUUUGCUUUUGCGAUGAAACCUAUUAGUUUUCGUUUUCAAUUAUUAUACCAUCCGUUUGCGUUAAUCUAAAGUUCAUUUCAGAAUGUUUUAAGGAGAUUCUCACAUUUUUUCUGAUAAAAAUAAAAUUUUGAAAAUGGACUCAAAUUUUUGCAUAAAUAAUUUGGACGCUGAUUAGGAUCAAUAUUUAUUAAUGUCAAUAUGAAAAUCAUUCCAUUGUAAUAGUUCCAAUAGAACUAUUCGGAAGGAGUAAAUUAAAAAUAUUUGAAUGUUCAUAUAUGUGAUAUAUACUAUUGAUAUUAUCGUUAUUGACAUCAGUAUUCAUAUAAUGGAGCUUCUCGGAAAAAUUAGUAAGACAGAUCUAUCGAAAUAAUUAUAUCCAUCUUCGUUUAUAUCAGUAUAUGUUAAUUGUUUCACACGAUCGAAUCGACGGAGGAAAUAUAGAAAUUUGUAUAAAGAGAAAUAGAAGGAAAAAGGUUUUUGAUGCGGUGUUACCACAGAUUGCUGAAAGUUGAUAUUCCAUAUGCAAGUCGAAAAGAGUCAAUUGCAGAACAGAAGGAAAUUAUUAAAGAAAAAUUUUAAUGGCUACUGUAUACAUCCAUUCCUGGCAAAAUGCUGCGGCAGCGAAAGAACUUCGAUGUUUAUUCGUCGGAGUACAAAGAACUGAUCUGGUAACUCCAAAUCUAAAAGUCCAAGUCAAUCAUUUGUUGAUUUUACACGCUACCAACAACUGCCAUUUUUAAAUUUAAGUCUAAUAGAAAAUAAAUUAAAAUUGUCUGAUAUACCGUCUGUGUUCCAUAGCAGGUAAUGUUUAGCGAAAUCUACUAUUGCUUAAACAGUGAAUAGUUUAACUCGUCGUUCAUUUAUAUCGUUUAAAUGAGUUUAAAAUUAGCAAAAGUUUGAAGUUUGACGUUUUCACCUUUAAAAAGUGAGGCGAAGCGUCAGUCAUUCCAAUGUUCGUUUUUAUUGACAUCACACGCAGCUACGAAACUCAGAUGCAAGUAUUCCAAUAUGAACAUCAUAAAUUAUUUAAAUUUUAGCUUAAAAUUAUUUUAUGUUAUUCGCGCGUUACGAUCUUCGUAAUGUUUAAGCGAAUAUACUAUCGUUUAAAUAUUACGAUUAUGAAAAUAAUUCAUUUGUCGAUUCUAUUAUAUCUAAAACAUUAACUUGAAAUAUUAUAAUUAUUACUAUAAUAAUAAUAAUAUUCAGUUUAUCAAAAAUCAAGCAAAAGCAUAUCAAUUCUUCGUUCUUUCGGUAAAAAGAUGAAAAGCACAGAAUGAUUUCUAUUUUGAUAUUUUUCCGUAUUUACCCUUUAUACUCCGCGUCCUUUCGAACAUUUGGCAGCAGCAACAGGGCGGUAUUAACGUCGCACAAAGUGGUAUAUAGUGUAACAUAUUACAUACUUCCACUUUGAUAGCAAGGAAUAUAUUACAGUGAUAUUUCAUUUACAUUAUAUUUAAUUAUAUUGUAGUAAUAUAGCAAAUAUAUUAUAUGAAUUUAUUGACAAAUAUUGACAAAAUUUCAAUGGAAUCCUCAUUUUAUUCUAGAUAAUUUUCUACGAUAUUUAUGACAAUUUUUCUCUCAAUUCUUGUACACCAUUUUCAUUGCUAUCAUUAUCUAUGAAAUUUCCUUAUUUUUCUAAUGAACUUUCCAAGAGGACAUCCGAGUGCAAAGGGUUAAAAAGAAAAAUAAUUGUUACAAAGUAGCCUGAAAAAAAAGCAAACAAAUAUGUAUUGAGAAAGUAUUACAAUUUCAUAUUCUCUAUGUUUGCGGUAUAUGUAAACUGGAUUUUUGAUUUAUAUUUACUUUUCUCUUAAUUUUUCAGAAAUUCUCUUAAGAAUUUAUUAUUCCUGCUCGGAAGAAAGAUAAAUAAGCAUAAACUUUCAUUUGUUGAAUGAAUUCUGAAUACAUAUUUAUUUGCUUUUUUCUUUUGUUCUUUUUUUUCUUAAUUAAAAUUUCUUUCGUUAAUUUAUUUUAUGGUUUAAUUUUCUUUUUAAUCAUAAAUUGAUUUAUGUACAUAGAGAUGCAUACUCCGAGAUAAAUAGUUUAUCAUAAAAUAUUAAAUAUUUAUGUUGACAAUUAUAUAAAUAUGUAGGUAUAUAAAUGUGAUUAAAUGUUAUACUAUUAUGUUAUGUUUGUGUGUGUGUAUGUGUGUAUGUUUAAACACACAUCCACAUAAAAUCUGUAUAUAAGAAUAAGUGUUAUACGAAAUUAUCGCUAAUGUAAGUUUUAACAGUAUGUAAUAAACUUAAAAGCAACUACAAAAAUAGUUCUAUGUCCCUUUAUCAUUAAUUAUG